rnacentral:misc_RNA from 1 species
GGAUGAUGGAGAUGAGAUUAAAGAAGCAGCUCCCAAACGUGACGAUGAAUAGUAGUGUGAGCAUAUUGAUUUGCACGUGCAGGAUUCAACUUCUCCUUCACAUGUUUUAUUCUGGAGAAGUGCUUGUUUGGAAAUUUGGCUUUUCUAUUGUUAUUAGGUAUUUCUUAGCCUUUUAUCAUCACCACAGUCUGGAAAAAAAAACGUGCUCGUUUGUCUCUUUUUCUUCUUUUGACCAAUCAAUUCGAUGUCUCUGAAUUGGCUUUUUUCUCGAAUAUAAAUUCUAUAUAUUAUUAAGCAUCAUGUAACUGAUCCACCUUUCGUCUCUUACAUGGGACGAUAUGAAUCCUUCUCAAGUAAUUAUAUAAACUUUCUCUGCUGUCUGAUUUGAAUCCUGCUGUAU